rnacentral:sRNA from 1 species
UGAAUCUAUAAAUGCUAGCCAAGCUUCUUCUUACUUCUCCAAGCAUUGAUGGUAUAGGCGAAGUCCUUAUGACUUUUUGGUUUCGAAUUUUCUAAAAGGGAAACACUACUUUAGCUUUCUAAUUUUGAUUUCAAUUUUAGUUCUUAUACUCAAUCAUACACAAGACAUCUAGUCAUAUUUGACUCCAAAUACUAAUCUUAUUAUUAAUGCAUGUGGCUAGGUUAUCCGCCUAGCUACUGAUCUAAGGGAAAAGAUCCCCGAUAGAGUAACCCUAAUCUUGGAAAUAGUGUCACCAGUCCUUCAUGUUGUUGCUUGCGAUAGUUGAGUAACAGAGCUUAGAGUACUAAGGAAAUCGAUUCUUUAUGCGUUAAACUAUGCAUCCCUGCCUGCGAUAGUUGAGUAACAGAGUAUAGGGAGAUCAGACGAGUAAGUGUUUCUAUAACACUCGUCCCGCCUUAUUGGCCAAGAUGGGGUGUUAUUCAUCUGAUCUUGCAAAAAUGUUUUCUUUAAACUUCACACACGAAAAAAAAAUUGCACACAACUCGCCAUGCUUACUAACCUAAGGAAAAAGGGGAAAAAGGGGGUGAGUAAAGAAUAGUCAUUGAGGGGAAUCUUCUCUACCCACUAAAACAUAUAACACUUUCUAAAGCUUUACAACCAUCGUCAUAACAUAUGAACUUAGACACAAACAAUCAAACUAAAAUGCUUGAACCUCUAACAACACACUUAUGAGUGGAGGCUAGCCCUCGUGGCUCCAACACUCACAUGCAUUCCGGGCUCGUCAGCGUUUCUUCACCAGCAACCUGUAGGCCCAUCACUGUCCACAUUACUAGGGAGACCACGAUCCAUAACUCGAUUCUCCCUAGUCAUACAUAAAAUUGUAUAGUUAAACAGCAUCACUAUACAUAUCAUUCAAUAAUCAUCAAAUCAUAUCACCACAAAAUCUUAUCCUGCGCAAUCAGAUCUAAGCCUACAUAUUAUGUAUGAAGAAUCAUACCAAAAGAAAAUGAUACUAUGCUUCCCAAAUACCACCGUCACCUUGGCCUAUUAAAGAUGAAGACUGAAAUAACCCGACCCAUUUUUUUAAAAAAAUAUAAUUAAAUAUUCCCAUAAAUAUCUAAUUAAAUCAACCAAUAAAAUAACAAUUAAACCGCAAGUUAAAAAUACUAUUUUAUGAAUAAAUAAAUAAUUCGACCAACAAAACCAAGAAUAACUAACAAUCCUAACCGGGUUCCAAAAACCAAAAACACCAAAAUAAAACAAACGAGUUCCUAAAUCAUCCUCUCUUCCUUGCGAUGAUUCCACGAUCACACUUUAUCUUUACCUGCAUCAACAACACAAUGAGAUGCGUAAGUAUUAUCAUAAAUACUUAGUGAGGCGAUCCUCCCAUCUAUGAGCUAUACACACAAGCAAAUAAAAGGGUGUAAUCACGAAUACAAUACAAACAAACCAGUCAUUGAACAAUUCACCUAACACACAUUCACCACACCUACAUAUCAUCACACAAAACAAAUCACACAACCCAAUCGCUCAGAUAAGCUCAUGGUCACGCACUCACCUUAACAACUUGAUUCUAAUAGCAAUUAAACCCAGGAGAGACUCUCCUUGCGUCUGAAACAGUCCAGAAACGUCCUACAACAAGUCCACAACCAAAAGCAACCGUGAAGCAAACUGGACAGGAAAAACCAGAAACAAGCAGUCUCAAAGACGAAACCCUAAAAUACAAACUAACUGUUAACUAUUCAAUCUCUCCGGUGAAACCCUAGCUGCAGAAGUCCCAAACCUGCCCACAAAAUCUCGUGCCAAUCGGAAAACAGACGAGACCACUAUCUCAGUUUCAAUCUCCGCUGGUCCUAAUUCGCGUCUGAGAAAACGUAUCUCACGAAACUGCGAAUAACUCAACCAAUUUUAAUCCAAAUCCAAUUCUGUAAACUGGAGAAUAACGAUAGAGGACUUGGAAAUAACUCUACCAAAUUUCGUUACCUUUUACCACGAUUUGAUAUGACGAAACUGAUUUCUCCCAAACCCUAACAAUUCUGCUCCUUCUCCUUUUCUCUCUUUUUCUCCUUUAUAAAACGAAAAGUGGCUAACUAAAGCCCUAAUUUCGAGUUUCCUUCUUUUAUAGGCACACUCUAGAGUUUCCAAUUAACCCAACCAAUAAUACCGGAUGAUUUAAAACCAAACCCUAAUCGAGUUUCCGGUUCACGGGCGUUACAAUUCUCCCCCACUAACAUAGAUUCGUCCUCGAAUCUAGUUUCACCCUUCCACUCCGAGGAACUCCGUGCAACCAACAGUACAGUCCGCACUCCCUCCAACCAGACCCCCUCUAGGUCUCUCUAUCCAGUCGAUAUACUCACGAUUUACUAGUCAUUGUUGCUCACAACUCACUCUCCACUCUCAGACCGCAAUCUUCGAGCAUAAACCGUCACUCUCAGGCCUCGGCCUACAGUAUCUCGGGUAUCACACAUAUUAUCUUCCCCACUCAAAGUCAAACCCUGAGUUGUGUCGGCUCACUCUCAGCCACAAAGUCAUCGAGUUACGACACUUGGAGAAAAUAAUACCACAAAACUCGCUCUCGGGUCGUCACCCUAAAGUGUGCUCUCGGAUCGUCACCCGAAGCCACUGUACCCCUCGUACUCUAAAGACACCAUGUCCCUCGAGUUACCGGUACCUCAAGAGCAUACCCCGCUCCUCACGAGUCGUUGGGACCCUCAUGUCCCUCGAGCAACAAUACUAAACGCUUCCGAGCAUAUCUCCAGACUCUCUCAUGGAUUCGCGUAAGACACCUCUAUGCCUCACCAUCCAUCAUAUCCCCUCGAGAACAUCCUUAUGACCAACUCCCGGCCAUCUCGUAAACACACCUUUCUCUUAGGUUGUUUACUCAAAAUUUCCGAAAAUAGACAAGUCCUUUCUAGGAAACUUUCCAUUUUUGGAAACCGCACAACACAUUCUUAAAUAAGACAACUCAAGUCAAAUCCAAGAAAAAAUACUCAUCUUAUUAAUCAUCAACUGUCAUGAUCGUUACAACUCCAAACGAAAAUACAAAUGAAAGAGAAAUAAGAACAACAACUCAAAAGCUCAAAAACUCAACAACACUGAAACUGGAAACCAAGGAAAGGCAAACUCAAAAGCUCAAAAACUCAACAACACUGAAACUGGAAACCAAGGAAAGGCAAACUCAUGCAGCAACCUGCUUCUCGAACCACUUCUUGAAACUUGCCUUCAUCCUCGCCUCUGGCUCCCAAGUCUCCUCUGUCACACCAUCGCAGUUCCACAGGACUUUGAUCAAAGGAAUCUUCUUCCGCCGAAGUUCCUUGAUCCUCCUCUCGAGAAUCCUCACUGGUCUCGCCUCCAAAGUCAUGUUGGGCUGAAGAUCCUCUAGAAUCUUAGCCAACACCUCAUCAUCCUUGUGAAGACACUUCCUCAGCAUCGACACAUGAAAGACCUUGUGAAACGCACGCAUAACAUCAGGCAACUCUAACCUGUAUGCCACUGGUCCCACCCUCUCAACAAUCCUGAACGGACCCAUGUACCUCGGAGUCAACUUAGUCUCUGAGAUAGACCUGUUCGGACCUCGCAACAUGGCCAUCUUAAGAUACACUCUGUCCCCAACCUCAAACUCAAGCUCUCUCCUCCUCUUGUCAGCAUAACUCCGCUGUCGAUCCUGAGCUUCCUUCAUGUUCAGCUUAAGAACCCGGAUCCUCUCCGUGGUCUCCAGAACAUAAUCUGCACCAUAUAUGCUCCUCUCCCCCACUUGGGUCCAGCAUAACGGUGUCCUGCAUGGCCUCCCGUACAACGCCUCAAAAGGAGCCAUCCUUAUACUCGCCUGAUAGCUAUUGUUAUAAGCAAACUCUACCAGACUCAAGUGAUCCGCCCAAUGACCUCCCCGAUCCAAGACACACAUCCGCAACAUAUCCUCAAGCGUCUGAAUAGUCCUCUCAGAUUGCCCAUCUGUCUGUGGAUGAUAAGCCGUGCUCAUCUGCACCUUAGUACCCAUCUCUCCCUGAAAGGCUCUCCAAAAUGCAGAAGUAAACUUGGAAUCCCUAUCUGACACAAUACUCACAGGUACUCCAUGCAACUCCACGAUCUCGCUCACAUAUUUCUUAGCCAACAGCACCGCUCCAUCGGUUUUUCUGAUGGCCAGAAAAUGUGCUGACUUAGUCAGACGGUCCACGAUCACCCAAAUAGCAUCUUUGGUUCGCGACACAGGCAACCCAACCACAAAAUCCAUCGUGAUAAAAUCCCACUUCCACUCAAGAAUGGGUAAACUCUGCAACAGGCCACCUGGCACCUGAUGCUCAGCCUUAACUAACUGGCAAACAUCGCACUCUGUAACCCAAUUAGCUACAUCCCUCUUCAUCCCGACCCACUGAUAGUACCGCUUGAGGUCUCGGUACAUCUUAGUCGCUCUUGGAUGAAUGGAAAACAUGCUCGCAUGAGCCUCACUCAAGAUCUCCCGUCGCAACUCCUCAUCCUUAGGCACACAAACUCGCCCAUGCACAAGGAUAGUCCCAUUAGCUGCAAACUGAUACUCAGAGCCGUCUGCCUUAGAAGCCGCAAUCAACCCCUCAUCCUUCUCCUGAGCCAACCGAACUCUAGUCAGAAGAUCUGCUCGAUCCACAGCUUCCAAUCCCAAUGGCUCUUGUGCCAUAACACACAACCGCAAAGCACCAAUCUCACUUACCAAGGCCUCAACACUUCCGCCCACGCGCUUACGGCUCAACGCGUCUGCAACCACAUUAGCCUUACCAGAAUGGUAAGCUAUCUCCAGAUCAUAAUCAGCCACCAACUCCAUCCAUCGCCUCUGCCUCAGGUUCAGCUCUGGCUGAGUGAAGAUAUACUUCAAACUCUUAUGAUCUGUGAACACCUGCACUUUCCCGCCAUAAAGAUAAGACCUCUAAAUCUUCAAGGCAAAGAUUAGCGCAGCCAUCUCCAAAUCGUGAGUAGGAUAGUUGCCCUCAUGCUUCCUCAACUGCCGUGAUGCAUAAGCAAUAACCUUCCCACGCUGCAUCAGAACACAAUCCAAACCAACUCUCGAGGCAUCAGUAUACACCAUGUAAGGCUCUCCAUGCUCUGGCAAUGCUAACACUGGUGUACUCGUCAACAUCUCCUUCAGGCUCAUGAAACCCUCAUCGCACUCCGGUGACCACACAAAAGGAACAUCCUUCCCUGUCAGCUUAGUCAUCGGCUGUGCCAUACUCGCAAACACCUUGACAAACCUCUUGUAAUACCCUGCCAACCCAAGAAAACUCCUGAUCUCAGUGGCAUUCGUCGGUCUAGGCCAAUCUCUGAUAGCCUCAAUCUUCUCUAGAUCCACUGAAACUCCCUCUGCAAAAACAGUGUGACCCAGAAAACCCAUCUCUCUCUGCCAGAAACUGCACUUACUCAACUUAGCGAACAACUUCUGCUCCCGCAGCUUCUCCAUCACUCUCCUCAGAUUGUACCUCAUGCUCCUCAGGACUCUUAGAAUACACCAGAAUGUCAUCAAUAAAGAUGAUCACAAACUCAUCCAAAAACUCCUGGAACACGCUGUUCAUCAACCUCAUGAACGCUGUAGGUAUAUUAGUCAAACCGAAAGGCAUCACCACAAACUCAAAAUGUCCAUAUCUCGUCCUGAAAGCAGUCUUGCGAACAUUUGCCUCCGCUAUCGGGAUCUAGUGAUAACCCGACGUCAAAUCGAUUUUGGAGAAACAAGUAGCACCCCUCAACUGAUCCAACAACUCAUCGAUCCUUGGCAAAGGGUACUUGUUCUUCACAGUGACCCGGUUCAACCCCCGGUAGUCAAUACAUAAGCGGAAACACAUCCUCGAACUCAUGAACAACCCGAAUGUCGCUCACUGCUACCUGCCCCACAGACUCCGGCAUAGAUAUCGUCACCAGGUAAGCCUCGCAGCCCUUCUCGAUCAUUUUCUCUGCCUGCACUGCUGAGAUGACGAGACUCCUUGAGGUAGGUCUCACUCUCUGAUAAACCAACCUUCCCUCUGGCCGCUCAAAAGAAACUCUCCCACGGUGGCAGUCAAGAUGUACUCUAUAAUGAUCCAACCAAUCCAUUCCCAGAAUAACAUCAUACAACUCUACAGGGCUGAUAAUCAAAUCUACUGGCAUUGACUCCCCUGCAAUCUGAAUAUCUACACCCUUCGCUCUCCCAAGAACCGCUAAAAACUGCCCUCCAGCAACCUUGACGGCUCCAAGCUGCUCACCAGGAUCCCCACGGAUGUUGCCGCGCGAGGCACUCUCCGGGGUAAUGAAGCAAUGCGAUGCUCCAGAGUCAAACAACACAUGGGCCUCUACACCGCCCACUAAUUAGGUCCCUACACAAACCUCAUGUGCUAAGAACCCUAACAUUCAUCACAAAACAAUGAUAUCCAAAACAACAGAAACAAUUCACAAAGUCUGAGUCUCAGAAAUCAUACCAGUAAUCGCUCUCUUGCUGGUACUACCUAUCUCACGCGUAGUGUAACCCUGCGGUGCCGCUGCAAUAUGUGCUAACUGCUGUACUCUCUGCUGCACCUGCGCUCCGUGCUGCACCGCCGGCUGUACCACUGCCACUGCCAUCCGCUGCAGCUUAGGACAAUUCGGCCUGAGAUGUCCCCUCUCCCUGCAAUGGUAGCACUCCCUCGUCUCAGCUCGCUGCGUGCAAUCUGCCACCUUGUGGUCAAGGCUCCCACAAGAAAAACAUCCUGCUCUGGAAGGAUGAUCUCACUUCCUCUUCUGCCCCUGCGCAGGCUUGCCGCCCUUGCUAGGUGCCACCUGCUGCUGAGUCUUCUUCGGUUUUACCGCUGGACUCACUCCCACCACCUGCCUCUGAAGGUCCUCCUCUACCUCAGCAGCCGUCUCCACCAGUGCCGCCUUCGUGGCGUAUUGCAACACUCUACACCGCACCCUCAAAUCCGGUCGAAGUCCCCUCAAGAACCUCCUCAUCUGGGCCUGGUCAUCCUGCAUGCCCCGACCCGCAUACACCAAGAGUCGGUUAAACUCCCGCUCAUACUCCCGAACCGACCGCUCACCCUGUGUCAGCUCAAGAAAACGCGCCUCCAUACGGUCGAGCGCCUCCUGCGGAAAGUACUUGGCAUUAAACUCAGCCACGAAAUCUGCCCAAGACAUAUGCGCCUGCCUCCUCCUGGCAGUCACACUCCGCCACCACAAAUGUGCAUCCCCCUCUAGAAAAUGCACUGCUAGAUCCACCCGAUACUCUGCAGGGCAUCUGCUCGAACCGAAGUUAUGCUCAACCCGCGACUUCCAACUGUCGGCCUCCUCAGGACUAGUACCACCAAAAAAAUACCUCGUGCCAAUCCUCUGCAACUGCUCCAUCAUCCUCAAAUAAGAUGGAACCUCCUCAGCAACCGCAGCCCUCUGCUGCACCUCCGCCACUCGUGGCGCAACUGGAGCCUGCACUGGUACCACACCUGGUAACCGCUCCAACAACUGCCUCAACAGGCCCGCCAAACCAACCCCUGGAACCUGGGCUCCUCCGGCUGCGGCACCCAUCACUCUUGGGCCCUCAGCACCAACGGCAUGCACACCGGCGCCGACAUCAGCUCCACCAGCCCCCACUCCGGCUGCACCGGCUAUAUCGGCACCAAGACCAUCCCCAACCCCGGGCUCCAGAAACUCAGGGUGCGAACCCACACUCUGCUCAACUGUGGCAUUGUGGCCAUCACUUUCGCCGGUACCCUCGAGGACUCGUCCUCUACCGCGACCACGACCACGACCACGACCAUGACCACGAACUCCAGCUCCCCUAACCAUCUGCGCUACUCAAGAACAAAAGGCUAAGAAACUAGAACAACGAAUAUAUCACAAACAACUUACCGUGGAAUCUCAUUUAAGGCUCGAAGAAGAUGAUGCUAGGACUCCAACACACACAAUUGACUAAGCACUCUAUAAUCAACCCUCAGUAUGCUAACACCCUAGCUAAUCCCACAUCAAUCAUCAGGAAAAUAAUUCAUCAAUUAAUUAUUCUAUACAUCCUAGAACUGUGAUCGCUCUGAUACCAAAUUAAAACAACCCGACCCAUUUUGUUUUU